GCUAGUGUAGCUUAACAAAAGCAUAACACUGAAGAUGUUAAGAUGGGGCCUAAGAACCCCCACGUGCA
rnacentral:tRNA from 1 species